UCCGGUUGAUCCUGCCAGACCCGACCGCUAUCGGGGUAGGGCUAAGCCAUGGGAGUCGAACGCCCCGCCGCUGCGGGGCGUGGCGUACGGCUGAGUAACACGUGGCUAACCUACCCUCGGGACGGGGAUAACCCCGGGAAACUGGGGCUAAUCCCCGAUAGGGGAGGAGGCCUGGAAGGGUUCCUCCCCGAGAGGGGCCACCGGGGGAUAUCGCCGGUGGUCCGCCCGAGGAUGGGGCUGCGGCCCAUCAUGGUAGUUGGCGGGGCAAUGGCCCGCCAAGCCUACGACGGGUAGGGGCCGUGAGAGCGGGAGCCCCCAGAUUCGCACUGAGACAAGGGCCCAGGCCCUACGGGGCGCACCAGGCGCGAAAACUCCGCAAUGCGGGCAACCGUGACGGGGCUACCCCGAGUGCCCCCCUUGAGGGGGCUUUUCCCCGCUGUAGGUAGGCGGGGGAAUAAGCGGGGGGCAAGACUGGUGUCAGCCGCCGCGGUAAUACCAGCCCCGCGAGCGGUCGGGGUGUUUACUGGGUCUAAAGCGUCCGUAGCCGGCUCGGCAAGU
rnacentral:rRNA from 1 species